CCAACGUGGAUACCCCGGGAGGUCACUCUCCCCGGGCUCUGUCCUAGUGGCGUACGGGAGCAUAGGGUACUGCCCGAUGAUGUACAGUCCCUUUCCACAACGUUGGAGAUGGAGCUGGGCUUCGAGUCUGCGCCUGCAUAUUCCUACGACUUCUCAGAGUCCCCUGUGGACCCCCCCGGGCUGACUGAGGAGACAAACCAUGCAGGAAACAAAA
rnacentral:snoRNA from 14 species